rnacentral:lncRNA from 1 species
UCAAAAAAGGUAAAAAUUCUCCCAAUUGCUCGAAAUUUAAUUUUGAACACCCCCAUGGCCAAAUUAGAGCUAAAGGACCAGUGGAUAGGCCAAAACUUGCAGGUAAAGUCCGGCGGCUGCCGUGGAAAAAACUAAAAAUUGUCUCCGAUGAGCCCUUUCCUGAUUCUCGUUUUGUGUAAUUUUUCCACCAUUGUAUUCACUGUUCUAUUUUCUAAAGGUUGACUGAAGAAAAACACCCAACAACCGUGAAGGUGAGCCUGCCACAUUAGAAAA